UUGUAGAUUGUUGUGUCACUACACUGACGCCUAUGUCGUUACCACAGCAACCCAUGCAGAUAGGUUGGUGAUGUUUGGACACACAAAUCCCACUUGGAUCACUUGAAAAGAUCACUUGGAAAUAACGAACAUGUCGGAUUUUCCUGCAGUCUGAAUGUAAUAUAAAAACUCAUCUAAAACAAAAGCAUCCCAUCCAGUAUUCCGACCU